GGGAAACGGAAAGUAUGUAUAUCUGUCAUCUAUACGAUGUACAAUAUUACAAGGACGAAUUGUCAACUACAUAUGACAUCAUCCUACUGUUCCAUCAGAGUAUUCAACACAGCGACCAUGAAGUAGACAUACAUUUACCUGUCUUGGUGCUAGCAGUUCAUUAACAUCAGCAUAUAUUGCAUCUAUAUCAACAUUAAGAAGAAUUAAGGUCACAUCCAAACUUAAGCUUGUCCAGUGUUGGAAACUUCACAAACCCUCUGUAGGGGAUGAAAUGAGCAGGUCCCUCUCGGAAUUCAUAUGACCACUCAAUCGCCUUGGCUUCUCAGACUUCGUAAGAUGUUUGGACAUAAUCGACGCCUGCUCUUGGAUUAUGCUCCUGGCUUCGACAAGCUGAGCUUCUAGCUCAAGCUCUCUCUCUGUUGCUUCUGAGGUAACUUCUGCACCCUUCUGUGCAUCUUGCAGUUGACCCAUCCGUUCCUUGAUAGAAGCCAUCUUGUUACGAAGACUUUCUUCAAUUUGAUCCCUAGCCAUGUGGAGAGGCAGAUCAAAAACAUCCGUUCUACCACCCAAUGGGGACUGCAAGUGAUCUGUGUCUAGCCUCUCACUGGUUGAAGAUGAUUGCCUCGAAGACCCAUUUGGGGCAUUUAAGAACUCACGCAUAUCAGCCUGCAUUGAUCGCAGUAAUGCCCUCAAAUCAGCAUUUUCUGCAGCUAGUUCUUGAUUUUUAGCUUCGUAGGCAUCUACAAUCUUCUUGUAGAAGUCAUU
rnacentral:misc_RNA from 1 species